rnacentral:rRNA from 1 species
UACGUAGGGGGCUAGCGUUGUCCGGAAUCAUUGGGCGUAAAGAGCUCGUAGGCGGUCUGUCGCGUCUGCUGUGAAAACUCGGGGCUUAACCCCGGGCCUGCAGUGGGUACGGGCAGACUAGAGUGCGGUAGGGGAGACUGGAAUUCCUGGUGUAGCGGUGAAAUGCGCAGAUAUCAGGAGGAACACCGGUGGCGAAGGCGGGUCUCUGGGCCGUAACUGACGCUGAGGAGCGAAAGCGUGGGGAGCGAACAGG